GGCGGUGUAGCUUAGCCUGGUUUAUAGCGCCAGACUCAUAAUCUGGAAGUCGCGUGUUCAAAUCACGCCACCGCCA
rnacentral:tRNA from 1 species